CCUACGGGGGGCAGCAGUGGGGAAUAUUGGACAAUGGGGGCAACCCUGAUCCAGCCAUGCCGCGUGUGUGAAGAAGGCCCUCGGGUUGUAAAGCACUUUCAGUGAGGAAGAACGCCUGGUGGUUAAUACCCAUCAGGAAAGACAUCACUCACAGAAGAAGCACCGGCUAACUCCGUGCCAGCAGCCGCGGUAAUACGAAGGGUGCGAGCGUUAAUCGGAAUUACUGGGCGUAAAGCGCGCGUAGGUGGCUUGAUAAGCCGGUUGUGAAAGCCCCGGGCUCAACCUGGGAACGGCAUCCGGAACUGUCAAGCUAGAGUGCAGGAGAGGAAGGUAGAAUUCCCGGUGUAGCGGUGAAAUGCGUAGAGAUCGGGAGGAAUACCAGUGGCGAAGGCGGCCUUCUGGACUGACACUGACACUGAGGUGCGAAAGCGUGGGUAGCAAACAGGAUUAGAUACCCGGGUAGUC
rnacentral:rRNA from 1 species